AUGACAAAUUUUGCUUUGAGAUGUUUCUUGUUAUGUUUAUCCUUUGCAGAACCUGAUGAUUUGGAAACAGAAAUUCUACAAGAGCCAAGUGGAACAAACAAAGAUGAGAGCUUGUCAUGCACUAUUACUGAUGUGUGGAUUAGCGAGGAAAAGGAAACAAAGGAAACUCAGUUGGAAGAUAGGAUCACCAUUCAGCAAAAUGAAGUUUCUGAAGAUGGAGUCUCGAGUACUGUGGACCAACUUAGUCACAUUCAUAUAGAAACUGGAACCAAUGAUUCUCAGCACUCUGAAUGUGAUGUAGAUAAGUCUGUGCAACCAGAACCAUUUUUCCAUAAGGUGGUUCACUCUGAACACUUGAACUUGGUCUCUCAAGUUCAGUCAGUUCAGUGUUCACCAGAAGAGUCCUUUCCAUUUCGAUCUCACUCGCAUUUACCACCAAAAAAUACAAACAAGAACUCCUUGCUGAUUGGACUUUCAACUGGUCUGUUUGAUGCAAACAACCCAAAGAUGUUAAGGACAUGUUCACUUCCAGAUCUCUCAAAGCUGUUCAGAACCCUGAUGGACGUUCCCACCAUAGGAGAUGUUCGUCAAGACAAUCUUGAAAUAGAUGAAAUUGAAGAUGAGCAUAUUAAAGAAGGACCUUCUGAUUCUGAAGACAUUGUGUUUGAAGAAACUGACACAGAUUUACAAGAGCUGCAGGCAUCGAUGGAACAGUUACUUAGGGAACAGCCUGGUGAAGAAUACAGUGAAGAAGAAGAGUCAGUCUUAAAGAACAGUGAUGUGGAGCCAGCUGCAAAUGGGACAGAUGUGGCAGAUGAAGAUGACAACCCCAGCAGUGAAAGUGCCCUGAACGAAGAAUGGCACUCAGAUAACAGUGAUGGUGAAACUACUAGUGAAUGUGAAUACGAUAGUGUCUUUAACCAUUUAGAGGAACUGAGACUUCAUCUGGAGCAGGAAAUAGGCUUUGAAAAAUUCUUUGGGGUUUAUGAGAAAAUAAAGGCUAUUCAUGAAGAUGAAGAUGAAAAUAUUGAAAUUUGUUCAAAAAUAGUUCAAAAUAUUUUGGGAAAUGAACAUCAGCAUCUUUAUGCCAAGAUUCUUCAUUUAGUCAUGGCAGAUGGAGCCUACCAAGAAGAUAAUGAUGAAUAAUCCUCAAAAUGUUUUUUAAUCCUCAACUGUAUGAAAGCAUUUGAAUUUGGCUCAUCAGAAUAACAAGCUUCAGUGGGAAAUACAGCAAUUAUUUGUUUUAAAAAUCAGAUUUAAGAUGGGCAUGCUUACUGCAUGAAAAAGAUGGAGAAACAUGCCAUUUUUCAGUGACGAUUCUAACAUUUUUUAUCUAUUUUAUUUUGUUCAUUGAAUUAUAUGGUUAAAUCCUGUAAAAUAUAUGCUUUAUUAAAUCAUUGAACCAAAGCAUAGGAAAUGUUGACCCAAAAAGUGACUUAAUGGUUUUGAAGAUUUACUAUGCAACAGGGUAACUUUGACUUUCAGCAAAUGUCUUUAGGUUGAAGGAAUUACCUACGUUAUGAAAGACCUCCCUGUGGUUUUUCAAUGAAGUCUUUAAGCAUGACCUUUUUUCUGUCUAAUACUUGCUUUCAUUUUGCCCAGCAGUUCUACAUUAAAUAACCUUGUCAAGGGCUCUAUUUAAAUGGAUACAUUUUGAAGAUGAAAUUUUUAGCCUUAAAGUUUAUAUUCUCAAGUCCUUUUACAACCAGUGUGUCUCCUGAACUAGCACAUAGGCUGUAAAAACAGUCUUAGAAAUCACUGAAAGAUUUGAUUAUGAAAGAAUAGUCAAAUAAAAGUUGGUUUAAUGCCUUUAUUUCUCUUUAAGGCCCAGAACCAGGAAUACUAUAUCUAAAAAUUAGUCUGCGGAUUUAACAUUGACCUAGCAUAUAGCUUGAAGUUGCUCUUUUGGUUUUUAACUUCCUCUUAUACAUAUGCUUCAAGGACAACAUGAUGUUAAAAAGGAGGAAGGAAUUAUUUCUAUUUUGACACUGUGACAGUUUUGGCAACCAGCAUCCUAGGGAGAGAAAUGUUUGUCUCUUGAACUUCUUUCCAUUAUGAGAGGAUUUAGUUAGGUCAUUAGGAUGAUGGUCACAGAGCUUCAAUUGCAAUAUGCCAAGUAUAACAUGGUUUUGUUAGAGGUGUCUACAGUCCAGAUGUUUUUCAUAAUAAAAGCAAAAUUUUGAACCUCUGAGUUCAAAGCAGGCUGGUUGGCAUAAUAUGUAAUUUGGAAAAUAAAAUCUUACCUUGCAGCACCAAUCAGCAUGUUAAAUUUAUUAUGUAUAUUACUUCUAACAUCUGAAACUAAAUACUUGAUUUUUAUAUGUGUUUAUUUUAUGAUAUUGCUAUUAAAUUUUUAUUAUUUACCUGAAGUGUAUCAUUGAUUGUCUUUUAUUUAUUAGCACUUUUCUCAAUAGAAGGCUUUUACGUCAAGCUGAGAAUAGUUUUUUGGUUUUGUACCUGAUUAUGUCUUUUUCUUCUUAAUAAAAGAGUUGAAUUUUGCACUUUAAUUCUCUGCAAUCCUGAAAGAUGGUAAUGAUUUUGGGGAGGUUAUGUGUUAAUUCUUAAACUAUUAUAACUGUUAGAAAAAUGAGGGUAUAAUAUGGUAGAAAACAAUUGUUUCAGCCAUAUGUCAAAAGAUGUCAUAUGCAGCAGUAACGGUGAUAAACAGGAUUUGUGCUGUCUCCAAUCGAUUUCCAGUGUGUGGCUCUGAAGAGUUAUUAUGGAAGGAUUAUGCCAGUGAGGAAGAGGGCUAUUAUUGUUCAGUAAUGCCUGUUAUAAGUGUUGGAGUUGACAUGUGGAAGCAUCUGUAGAUUCAUAAAUGUUAGCAUUGGAUGGACUAUUGGGAUAACUUUGUCUUUUCUCAUUUAAUCUUCAAGGAUAUUGAGUUGAACAUGAAAUUAAGUCACCUGUGUAAAGGGUCAGGGUCAGACCAACUCCUAGGUCUUACACUUAUUACUUGGACAUUCUUAUCUCUCCUAGAGAAUCAAAAAGAAUAAAUUUGAUAGGAAAUAGUAUACUUGGCAUUAAUGCAUUAAGAAUUCUACAGGCCAAUCCUGGUCAACAUGGUGAAACCCCGUCUCUACUAAAAAUACAAAAAAUCAGCUGGGCAUGGUGGCGCAUGCCUGUAAUCCCAGCUACUCAGGAGGCUGAGGCAGGAGAAUUGCCUGAACCCAGGAGGCGGAGGUUGCGGUGAGCCGAGAUUGCGCCAUUGCACUCCAGCCUGGGUAACAAGAGUGAAACUCCGUCUCAAAAAAAAAAAGAAUUCUACAGGCCAGGUACAGUGGCUCAUGCCUGUAAACCCAGCACACUGGGAGACAGAGGUGGGAGGAUCACUUGAAGCCAGGAGUACAAGACCAGCCUAGGCAACUAAGUGAGACCUCAUCUCUACAACAAAUAAAGUUAGCUGGACACAGUGGUGUGCACCUGUAGUCCCAGCUACUCAGGAGGCUGAAGCAGAAGAAUUGCUUGAGCCCAGGAGUUCAAGGCUACAGUGAGCUAUGGUCACAUCACUGCUCUCCUGCCUGGGCAACAGAGCAAGACUCCAUCACUUUAAAAAAUCAGCCAGGUACAAUGGCUCAC
ensembl:lincRNA